GGACCCGCACAAGCGGUGGAUUAUGUGGAUUAAUUCGAUGCAACGCGAAAAACCUUACCUACCCUUGACAUGUCCUGGAGCCCGAUGAGAGUUGGGUGUGCCCGAAAGGGAACGGGAACACAGGUGCUGCAUGGCUGUCGUCAGCUCGUGUCGUGAGAUGUUGGGUUAAGUCCCGCAACGAGCGCAACCCUUGUCAUUAGUUGCUACAUUCAGUUGGGCACUCUAAUGAGACUGCCGGUGACAAACCGGAGGAAGGUGGGGAUGACGUCAAGUCCUCAUGGCCCUUAUGGGUAGGGCUUCACACGUAAUACAAUGGCGCGUACAGAGGGCUGCUAAGCCGCGAGGUAGAGCCAAUCCCUUAAAGCGCGUCGUAGUCCGGAUUGCAGUCUGCAACUCGACUGCAUGAAGUCGGAAUCGCUAGUAAUCGCGGAUCAGCAUGUCGCGGUGAAUACGUUCCCGGGUCUU
rnacentral:rRNA from 1 species